GAGCCAGCACUCUGAAAAACUGUCAGGAGCUAUUACAAAUGGAGAAUUUGGAAAGGUGUUCAUUUCUGCACUAACGCCGGUAGGGAGGUCAUACCAUUUUAACCAAGGCUACCUAGGACACACAAAACCAGGAUUUGGGAUGGAGUAAAGUUUGGGAAGAGACAUGGGAAUAAAAGGGUCCUUUCCUCUCAGUGCAAACAUGUGACAUAAUUUCAAGAAACAAGCUGCAUUCAAAUUAAUCCCCCUAAAUACUUUAAUUUCCUUUCCCAAAGGAAACUUCAGGGCAUCACUGAGAGCAAAAUUAGAAUACAGUUUGAUCAUCAUUUUCAGAAUUUCAGGAGACGAUUUCAAAGCAUGGAAUAUUUUUUAAAGCAUUGAGUUUUAAGGCGUCCUGAGCUAUCUAACCUAGAAGAGCAAACAGGCUGCCUCGUGGUGUCAUCGGAGAGGCAGAUGUCCAUCUCGCUUGUAAACACAUGCUGCCAGAUGCUCUCUAGCCACAAACUGUCUCCUGCCGCUGCAAAUCCCUGUGAUCCCUGAUCGGUCACCCCCACCUUCCUGUUCCACGUGGCAGCUACGUAAUGGCUCCACAACACCUAUCUGAAGAAAUAAAUAUAAGAGUAAAUAUAGUUAUGAAAGGGAAGUGACAUGAAUAUAAGUAUUUACUCUGGUAUUUUGCAUGUGUGCAAUAUAUUUUUGUAAAGAGCAAGGUUUUGAUUUAAUCUUGAUUAUGAAUUUAUUUCCAAAAUAAAAUUUUCUUUUUUCAGCACAAAACUAAGAGACUCUCUUACAGAUGGUUAGGUAUAAUGAGAGAUUAAACAUAACUUUCAUCUCUUAUAUAGAUACAGUAGCACAAGGGUAAAGAUUAGAUUAUUUUUAUGCUUAUGCUCAAAUGAUCUUUCUCAUGUUUGUCCAUAAAUAUGGUCAGCCAUUCAAGGACAGUGAAAUACUUAUAAACAUGUAUUGUCAUUUAAAUAAAAAUAAGAAAUAGAUUAUUUUUCUGGCAAGGUCUAUCUGAUAAAACACUAUAAUCUAAGCUCAUGGGUUUGUAACUAUUAAUAUUUUUUGCUUUUUUUGUGUGUGCCCC